rnacentral:rRNA from 1 species
UACGUAGGGGGCAAGCGUUGUCCGGAUUUACUGGGCGUAAAGAGCGUGUAGGCGGCCACGCAGGUCCGUUGUGAAAACUGGAGGCUCAACCUCCAGCUGUCGACGGAAACCGUGUGGCUAGAGUCCGGAAGAGGAGAGUGGAAUUCCUGGUGUAGCGGUGAAAUGCGCAGAUAUCAGGAAGAACACCAAUGGCGAAGGCAGCUCUCUGGGACGGUACUGACGCUGAGACGCGAAAGCGUGGGGAGCAAACAGG